rnacentral:rRNA from 1 species
GGCAACCCUGACGGAGCAAUACCGCGUGAGGGAGGAAGGCCUUUGGGUUGUAAACCUCUUUUCUUAAGGAAGAAGCUCUGACGGUACUUAAGGAAUCAGCAUCGGCUAACUCCGUGCCAGCAGCCGCGGUAAUACGGAGGAUGCAAGCGUUAUCCGGAAUUAUUGGGCGUAAAGCGUCCGCAGGCGGCAUUAUAAGUCUGCUGUCAAAGACCGCAGCUCAACUGCGGAAAGGCAGUGGAAACUGUAAAGCUAGAGUACGGUAGGGGUAGAGGGAAUUCCCAGUGUAGCGGUGAAAUGCGUAGAGAUUGGGAAGAACACCAGUGGCGAAAGCGCUCUACUGGGCCGUAACUGACGCUCAGGGACGAAAGCUAGGGGAGCG